rfam:Pyronema omphalodes CBS 100304, CBS100304, WGS project CATG01000000 data, contig: Pcon_v1_contig591
UCCCCCGUGGCGCAAUUGGCUAGCGCGUCUGACUGUUAAUCAGGAGGUUGGUGGUUCAAGCCCACCCGGAGGAG